AGUCCUAAUGAGGUGUUGAGAUAGAGGAAAACACACAGCAUCUUCUACUUCAGUUCCAUCACAAGGACUUA